UGUUGACGCGCGUUUUAUUAAAGAAACGAGUCGACGGUCGGUUGGAGCCUUUCAAGCCUUCAGUAAUGCGUUCUGAAUAUGUCGAGAAAACGAAGAAGACUUCAAAACGACCAGAACCAAUCAGAAACAAUAACAGAAACUCAUGAUUAUAUAUAUGUAUUAAUAACUGCUUUUGAAUUUUGGUUGGGCAAGCAACCAGUUAUAAAAAAUAAUUAUAUUAUAAUUUCAUAAAAUUUUUCAAAAAUUCAAUUUCAAAAAUUUAUUUCAAUAAAUCAUUUCUAUCAUUAUAAUUUUGUUCCUUUUAAUAAAAAUAUGUGUCAAGCUAUAAAUCUCCAUAUAAAAAACGUUGCUAAUGAGCUAGGGAUGUCUACUCCAUGAACAGGAAUAACUUAUGCAACUUGGCAAGCUUUAUCAAAAACACGAAAGCUACAUAAACAAAUUCAUGAUUUUGACAUUAGACAUCUGUCUUUCUGUGUGUUUGCUUGUAUAAAGAAACAGCUUCGAAGUUCAUAAUUCACGUGAAGAAGCAGCUAUAAUUUCACGGGCCAUUAAUUUGUUCUACAAAGGCCUCGACUAUAAUAUGCACGCAGCGCUUAUUAUUAUGAAAAGAAAUCGAGUCGCGAUUGCACGGAUAUGUACUUAAUGCGCAUUUUGUGAGGACUUUAUUCUGAAUGACGCGGACGUGAACCAAAAAAAAUACCAUUAUGAAUCGUCCUGUGUUCGUGACAUAUCAAAAGACAGCUUCCACUACAAUGCUAUCUAGUUCUUCCUGGAAACAACCAUCUGAAACUUCGAUCUACCUAACUUCGAACUAUCCUAAUCUUUGAGCUUCGGUAAUCACUUAAAAUCGGAUAAAUCUUGAACUGGUCUGCUAAUAUAGAACAAUAAAAAAAUAGCGACUAUUGUAAAUAUACAACAGUUUCAAUCCUUUCCCUAUUAUCACAAAUUUAUUAUUUGUGCACUAAAAUGUUAGAAAUUCAAUAUUAUGAAUCCAAUUCUAAUAUAUUAUUAAGGGUUAAUAAGCGGUUCAGGCACGUUUAGAAA